UACGUAGGGCGCAAGCGUUAUCCGGAAUUAUUGGGCGUAAAGAGCUCGUAGGCGGUUUGUCGCGUCUGCUGUGAAAGCCCGGGGCUUAACCCCGGGUCGGCAGUGGAUACGGGCAGGCUAGAGGUAGGUAGGGGAGAAUGGAAUUCCCGGUGUAGCGGUGAAAAUGCGCAGAUAUCGGGAGGAACACCGGUGGCGAAGGCGGUUCUCUGGGCAUGUCCUGGACGCUGAGGAGCGAAAGUGUGGGGGAGCGAACAGG
rnacentral:rRNA from 1 species